rnacentral:lncRNA from 1 species
AUGAGAAAAACUGAGGUCAGAAAAACUGAUAGACCAUUUUAGAGGUGCAAGUAUCCUGAUGUUCAGUGAGGAAGACUUGGGCACACAGGAAAGUCUUUAUACAGUGGAACAUCAGAGGUUAUGCAGUUGUUGACAAUGCACAGUUUGGUGGUGUGGAUGACCCCAGAGUUUCAGAUAGUAAAUGAAAACCUGUACAGCAAUUGCCAAGAUAUACUCCAAAGGAGAGAGAGUCCCUUGUGGAAUGGAAUUUUCAGCAAGUUGAAUAUUGUGAGAAUAACAGUGAAAAGGAGAAGAUUCCAGGUUCCAGUUAUGGGUGCCCAUGGAAUAGUAAGAGCACAGCUACACACUCAGGCACUAUGGAGAGAUCAGAAGUUCAGAAGUUGCAACAGAGUUACGAAUAAUACAUUCCCUUACCAUUUCAUUUCCCUGUUCCUGUCUAUGGGAAUAUUCACGGAGCCUUCAUUAUGUAGGAACACUGAGCAUAGGCCAGGCAUUCCAGAUGGCAUAGCUACAAGCUGCAGAGAGCCACCCGAUCCACACCAGACUGCAAUAAUUUUCAUUUAUGAACAAACUAAAGUGGAAAAAAUUGUUUGAAGAUGGUAUGAAGCAUUUUUUUUUUUUUUUUUUUUUUUUAGUUCUAGCAAUCAGAUAGCUGAAUAGAAGCAAAUCUCUAAGUGGCCUGGAAGAGAACGGCAAUGGCAUGGAUCGUUAUGAUUCCACCCAAGACAAACUUCUGCACUGGCCAAAAUAAACUGCUUAGUCACCAAAGAUGGGCA